ensembl:misc_RNA Metazoa_SRP Metazoan signal recognition particle RNA
GCUCAGGUGAACAUGUCUGUAGUUGCAGCUACUUGGGAGGCUAAGGCAGGAGGAUUGCUUCAGCCCGGGACUUCUGUGCUGUAGGGCACUAUACCCAUUAGGUGUCUGCAUUAAGGUCAGCAUCAAUACGGUGACCUGAAAGCCAGAGACCACCAGGUUGCCUAAGGAGGAGUGAACCAGCUCAGGUUGGAAAUGGAACAGGUGAAAAUUCCUGUGCUGAUCAAUAGUGGGCUGUACGUGUGAUAGCCAUUGCACUGCAGCCUGGGAAACAUAGCAAAACACCAUCUCUU